rnacentral:sRNA from 1 species
AGAGAUGUGACUCACAUGAUGAGAGCGUUAAUUUUUAUUUUUAAAUCAUGUCUAUCCGGGAAACCCCGUCCGCAUCCACACCAAGACAAGAUGUGAAAUGGAGAAGUAUCUGACACCUCAGCUUCCUCCAGUUCCUAUAAUUCCAGAGCAUAAAAAGUAUAGACGAGACAGUGCCUCAGUCGUAGACCAGUUCUUCACUGACACUGAAGGGUUACCUUACAGUAUCAACAUGAACGUCUUCCUCCCUGACAUCACUCACCUGAGAACUGGCCUCUACAAAUCCCAGAGACCGUGCGUAACACACAUCAAGACAGAACCUGUUGCCAUUUUCAGCCACCAGAGUGAAACGACUGCCCCUCCUCCGGCCCCGACCCAGGCCCUCCCUGAGUUCACCAGUAUAUUCAGCUCACACCAGACCGCAGCUCCAGAGGUGAACAAUAUUUUCAUCAAACAAGAACUUCCUACACCAGAUCUUCAUCUUUCUGUCCCUCCCCAGCAGGGCCACCUGUACCAGCUACUGAAUACACCGGAUCUAGAUAUGCCCAGUUCUACAAAUCAGACAGCAGCAAUGGACACUCUUAAUGUUUCUAUGUCAGCUGCCAUGGCAGGCCUUAACACACACACCUCUGCUGUUCCGCAGACUGCAGUGAAACAAUUCCAGGGCAUGCCCCCUUGCACAUACACAAUGCCAAGUCAGUUUCUUCCACAACAGGCCACUUACUUUCCCCCGUCACCACCAAGCUCAGAGCCUGGAAGUCCAGAUAGAC